ACACACACACACACGCCGUACAGCGCUGUUUGUUCGUUAAGACGCGGCCCGAGGCGGUAGUUCAUAUUUCGGGCAGAGGACCAGUUCCCGCUUCCUCCCAUUGAGGGCCAUAUGUUUUGUUUGAAGGCGCGUCGAAUCGUUCCAUGGCGCCGCUGGGCAGGGCGGGCCGUCUGUUGCAGGGGCUGCAAACAGGACAAUGGACAUUGGACAUGUUGCGGACAAGGUACACAGGGUGUAGAGAGGUUGGGGAGAACUUCACACUUCACUUGGGACAGUGAGUGAGGUAACACCAUGCCUCUGACAGAGAAAAUACAGCGUUACAAAUGUUUGAAAAACUCAUCAUUAUUAAAUUGUAUUUUUCAUUUUUAUUGUUUGACCUAAUUUA